UCGCCGGCGGUGACAGUGGCGGCUCCGGCCCCUCUCCUGCUCAGUCCGUCGUCGUCGGCGGCGGCGGCGGCUCAGUGCUGCAUCACCCCCUCGCUCGCUGGAUGGAAGGAUAGAUGGACGCACCUCCUUACCGAUGUCAGAUCGGCCUUCCUGAGAGUGAACCCGCAUCUGGCCUUGAGGGAGUCCCCAGCCAUAUCCUCAGAACCAGCUGCCAGGCAUAACUACUCUGCCCAAGACCACAGGAAGUUUCAGUGAAUUGUGGAUGUAGCCCGGUUCAUCACUCAAAUUAACCUACCACCAUCGAGUCUCUCUACAUUUCAGCUGCCUCAGGAAAACAAUCAGCGUAAUCAAGGACCUUUUCCCUCUUCUCCUCCUCCUCCACUACCUGAUUCAGGAAAAGCUUCUCUGCUGUUAUCAGACUACUAAUCAGUCCUCCCAUAGCUAGGUGUAGUCCUGACCCCCCAACCUACCUCAUUUUGGACAUUUAACUUUAUUUUUAUUUUCACUUUCUUUGUAACACUAUAUUUUGCACUCUGGUACUUUUCCCUUUGUGUUAGCUGUUGCAUUCUUGUAUGGCUUGAUUUUACUUAUCUACAGUAUGAUUUGACUGGAUUGCGUGAAACCGCAGCUUGUCACUGUAUCUCGAUACACAUAUAAACCAAUAAACUAAUAACAAUACCCACCAGUGGUGGCUCAGCAAUGCACAUAUUGUAAGCAUGGAGUAAAUCCAAUCUCCAAUCAAAGUAGAUAUGAGAAUUUAUAAUAACGAUAUAAAUAUUAUAUAAUUAUUUGUCAAAUUGUAGUGAACGGUGCCAACUGAUCGAGAACACAAACAUCCUGCGGCGUGGAUGUGUUUGCGAGUGCGUACGGGUAUACGUGAGUGUGCACAGAAACAUCCUGCAGCGUACUCUGCUGCGCACUCGGGGUUUGCAAGUGCGUUCGGGGAUAUUCGGGGAUAAGUGAGUGUAUGUACCUUAUUUGGUAGUGUAAUAAAUUACUUAGUGAAUCAAA